UGCCAGCCGCCGCGGUAAUACUGAGGUUGCAAGCGUUGUUCGGAAUUAUUGGGCGUAAAGCGGGUGUAGGCGGAAAAGUAAGUCAGAUGUGAAAUCCCUGGGCCCAACCCAGGACGUGCAUUUGAUACUGCUUUUCUUGAGUGUGGGAGAGGAUUGUGGAAUUCCAGGUGUAGUGGUGAAAUACGUAGAUAUCUGGAGGAACAUCGGUGGCGAAGGCGGCAAUCUGGCCCAACACUGACGCUCAGACCCGAAAGCGUGGGUAGCAAACAGGAUUAGAUA
rnacentral:rRNA from 1 species